GUGAGUGUGGCGGUAGGGCGUGUGAACUUAUUGAAAUGCCUGUAAUAAUAAAAUUACUGUAACGUAGCAUCUAUAAAUUUAGCUAGCUGUUAGUUCAGUUAGCAUUUAGCCUAUUUAGCCACUCACACAAGCAGCAUAAAGACGAGAGGUUGGAGUCACCUGCUCGGAGGAAGAAACCGGAGGAAACCGGAGGAAACGAGCAGUCAACACACCACAGCACAGGAGAGCUCUGCUGGAAUGCUGCUAAGCUGCAGAUGUACCAGCCAAAUUACUCCAGAGGGGAAUUACCAGGCCGUAAAUCCAGACGUCAGGAGGAUGGCUGUAGCCUAUUUCACGCCCUGCCUGAAGCACGCAGGGGAGAGAGGUCACGGUGGACGAUGAGGGAUGGGCCGGGCAGAGCCUCCACUCGGAGCAAUUUGGCUGAAGACUAAUGUGUGAGGAAGUAGCCUACAUGAAAAGACCUCAUCCACGUAGGUCUGCCUGGAGCUGACAAACACCUGUUCUACUUAACCUGUAAUGAGUCUGCAAUAGAGAUCUGUCUUAUCCCCCUUUUUGUCUGCGAGCGCAACCUUAAGAAAACAAAACAAACGGCAAUAAAGGGGAA